rnacentral:rRNA from 1 species
UUAACUUAGUGGCGAACGGGUGAGUAACGCGUGAGUAACCUGCCCUGGAGUGGGGGACAACAGUUGGAAACGACUGCUAAUACCGCAUAAGCCCACGACCCGGCAUCGGGUUGAGGGAAAAGGAUUUAUUCGCUUCAGGAUGGACUCGCGUCCAAUUAGCUAGUUGGUGAGGUAACGGCCCACCAAGGCGACGAUUGGUAGCCGGACUGAGAGGUUGAACGGCCACAUUGGGACUGAGACACGGCCCAGACUCCUACGGGAGGCAGCAGUGGGGGAUAUUGCACAAUGGGGGAAACCCUGAUGCAGCGACGCCGCGUGGAGGAAGAAGGUUUUCGGAUUGUAAACUCCUGUCGUUAGGGACGAUAAUGACGGUACCUAACAAGAAAGCACCGGCUAACUACGUGCCAGCAGCCGCGGUAAAACGUAGGGUGCAAGCGUUGUCCGGAAUUACUGGGUGUAAAGGGAGCGCAGGCGGACCGGCAAGUUGGAAGUGAAAUCCAUGGGCUCAACCCAUAAAUUGCUUUCAAAACUGCUGGCCUUGAGUAGUGCAGAGGUAGGUGGAAUUCCCGGUGUAGCGGUGGAAUGCGUAGAUAUCGGGAGGAACACCAGUGGCGAAGGCGACCUACUGGGCACCAACUGACGCUGAGGCUCGAAAGCAUGGGUAGCAAACAGGAUUAGAUACCCUGGUAGUCCAUGCCGUAAACGAUGAUUACUAGGUGUUGGAGGAUUGACCCCUUCAGUGCCGCAGUUAACACAAUAAGUAAUCCACCUGGGGAGUACGACCGCAAGGUUGAAACUCAAAGGAAUUGACGGGGGCCCGCACAAGCAGUGGAGUAUGUGGUUUAAUUCGAAGCAACGCGAAGAACCUUACCAGGUCUUGACAUCCGAUGCAUAGUGCAGAGAUGCAUGAAGUCCUUCGGGACAUCGAGACAGGUGGUGCAUGGUUGUCGUCAGCUCGUGUCGUGAGAUGUUGGGUUAAGUCCCGCAACGAGCGCAACCCUUAUUGCCAGUUACUACGCAAGAGGACUCUGGCGAGACUGCCGUUGACAAAACGGAGGAAGGUGGGGAUGACGUCAAAUCAUCAUGCCCUUUAUGACCUGGGCUACACACGUACUACAAUGGCGUUUAACAAAGAGAAGCAAGACCGCGAGGUGGAGCAAAACUCAAAAACAACGUCUCAGUUCAGAUUGCAGGCUGCAACUCGCCUGCAUGAAGUCGGAAUUGCUAGUAAUCGCGGAUCAGCAUGCCGCGGUGAAUACGUUCCCGGGCCUUGUACUCACCGCCCGUCA